GACGAACGCUGGCGGCGUGCUUAACACAUGCAAGUCGAACGGUGAAGCGCCUUCCUUUUUGGUGGGUGUGGAUGAGUGGCGAACGGGUGAGUAACACGUGAGUAACCUGCCCCCUUCUUCUGGAUAACCGCAUGAAAGUGUGGCUAAUACGGGAUAUUCUGGGUCUGUCGCAUGAUGGGUCUGGGAAAGAUAUUGUUUCGGUGGGGGAUGGGCUCGCGGCCUAUCAGCUUGUUGGUGGGGUGAUGGCCUACCAAGGCGGUGACGGGUAGCCGGCCUGAGAGGGUGGACGGUCACACUGGGACUGAGACACGGCCCAGACUCCUACGGGAGGCAGCAGUGGGGAAUAUUGCACAACGGGCGCAAGCCUGAUGCAGCGACGCCGCGUGAGGGAUGGAGGCCUUCGGGUUGUGAACCUCUUUCGCCAGUGAAGCAGGCCUGCCUCGUUUGUGGGUGGGUUGACGGUAGCUGGAGAAGAAGCGCCGGCUAACUACGUG
rnacentral:rRNA from 1 species